AAUUGCAAAAUGGUAAAUAUUUACUUAGAGCCUCAAGUUGUUUAUCUUCCUUAAUGUCAUAUUUAAAUAAGAAAAUAUUAUCAUAGAAACCUUUCCAAACC